rnacentral:lncRNA from 1 species
UCUAUAGAUUUUUUUAAUUUAUAUGUAUUCUAAAAAAUUGGUUUUUACGUUAGGCUAAUUCUAAUGAUUCUAGUGUUUUUUAUUUAUUUUGUUGUACAAAAAAACUUUUUGAAUUACCUGUAGAAAGCGAUUUCCCUAAGGAAAAAGCUUUCAACGAUGUCCAAUAUCCCUUCCUUUUCCAAAUUUUUUUACGAAUACGCUUUUUCGAGAUAGAAGUACGUUUUUUUGGAACUGCCAUUCAAAAAUGAAAAAAGUUUUUGAGUGGUAUAAUUGGAUGUCAAAGACAUUUAUUAUUCUAUUCUUUCGUACUCCAUAUUGAGUAAUUUGUUUCUUUCAAAUUUUAUUAUAUAUUAUUUUUCAAACAAAACAGACAUUCAAAAGGGAGAAUCGAUGACUGCAUCAAAGAUGCACUUGUUAGUACACCUGCAAAUUCUGAAUUGGCUAGUUGUAAAUAGCCCCAAGACUAUGGAAUAAAGGAUUAUCCCGGACCUACACCGAGGUAUUGACGGUGAUUCUCAAAUAUUACAGAACAUAAUGUGAUACGAUGAGAUAGAAUGCAAUAGAAACAAAGACACAGUGAACGGGUUACCUACUCUUACAUUCAGAAUUCUUGAAUUCGGAAUGAAUCAAAUCUCCCCAAGUAGGAUUCGAACCUACGACCAAUCAGUUAACAGCCGGCCGCUCUACCACUGAGCUACUGAGGAACAACGGGAGAUUAGAUCUCCUAGAGUUCAAUUCCCGUUCUCAACCCAUGACCAAUAUGAAUUUUCUAAAAAAAGAAUUAGAAAAAAAGGGGGGGGGGGUUAUUCCCCGAUCGUUGAUCGUAUCUCUAAAUUUUUUUAUCCUUUCUGAUGUUAAUAACUAGAAUUAAAAAAAAAGGGAAAUGUUAAUGCAUCUGGAAAUAAACGAUUAAUCUCUAUUAAUAAACCUGCUAACGAAACGAACCAUAGAGUACUUAGUACCGGUGCUACGGAAAGAUAUGUUUUUAGAUCUUGCAUUUGAAAUCCUCCUUCUUUCUUCUUUAUUGUAUUACAAUAUAUAUAGUAAUAUAUAUAACUAUAGAUGUACAUGUAGUUAAGAAGUUCUUGUAUUUGUAUAUGUAACCCCCCAUUUUUAAAAUUAGAAUUGAAAUAUUGUCUACUAGAACGAUCUUAUAGAUUCCAUUUGAAAAUGGAAACGCCUUUUUAUGUAAAUUUGAAAUUGAUAGGAUUUGCCUAAAAAAAGUAAUUUUUUUAAUUAUACUUAUAUAUAUGUUUGUUAUCUGAUAUGAAACAAAAAAAAGAAGGAUGUGGAAAACAAGAUAGGAAUUGUUUACAAUGACACUGUAAACCAAUCGAAAGGGAUGUAGCGCAGCUUGGUAGCGCGUUUGUUUUGGGUACAAAAUGUCACGGGUUCAAAUCCUGUCAUCCCUACCUAAUUACUGCUCAGAAGAGCAGUAACGAGGAAUCCAUUUUAGAUUUAUGCUUCCUAUGAUAACCGGGUUCAUGAAUUAUGGUCAACAAACCCUACGAGCUGCAAGGUAUAUUGGUCAGGGUUUCAUGAUUACCUUAUCCCACACAAAUCGUUUACCUGUAACUAUUCAAUAUCCCUAUGAAAAAUUAAUAACAUCAGAACGUUUCCGCGGUCGAAUCCAUUUCGAAUUUGAUAAAUGCAUUGCUUGUGAAGUAUGUGUUUGAGUAUGUCCUAUAGAUCUGCCGGUUGUUGAUUGGAAAUUGGAAACUAAUAUUCGAAAAAAACGAUUGCUUAAUUACAGUAUUGAUUUUGGAAUUUGUAUAUUUUGUGGUAAUUGUGUUGAGUAUUGUCCAACAAAUUGUUUGUCAAUGACUGAAGAAUAUGAGUUUUCAACUUAUGAUCGUCACGAGUUGAAUUAUAAUCAAAUCGCUUUGGGCCGGUUGUGGGCGAGGAGGGAUUCGAACCCCCGACACCGUGGUUCGUAGCCACGUGCUCUAAUCCUCUGAGCUACAAGCCCCACCCCGUCUCCACUGGAUCUGUUCCCAGGAGUACCCUACAAAAAAAGGAACCUUUCCUCUCCCCAGCCAUUUCGGGUUAAGAAGAUGUGAAAGUGCCUUUCUCUCUAUAAGAACGGUGCGUUCCGGGGUGUGAAGUGGGAUAUAAGGGAUUUCAUAAUUGGGGUUUUGAAUAAGACAACCUUUUCAUUUUUCAUUUUUUUCAAUAUGAAAAAGUAAUAAGAAUGAGAGGUGUUAAGCUUUUCAUCAUCCUGGCGUCGAGCUAUUUUUCAAUUAUUAAUAUAUAAAAUUAUUAAGGGUAUAUGUGUGAUACACAAUCUAUUAAUUAUAAUUAAUUUGAUUUCAAUACCAUUUUUUUAAUCCUAUCCUAUAUUAACUAUCGAUAUUUAGGUCUUAUAAUACUUCAGGAGCUAAUGAAACUAUUUUAGUAAAGUUUAAUUGUCUCAAUUCCCGUGGGAUCGCCCCAAAAACGCGAGUUCCUUUUGGAUUUCCUUCUUGAUCAAUGACAACUGCGGCAUGCGGUGAGUUAGUAGCAGUGGGUGGCAAAGUAGCUUUGCUACCUAUUCCAUUAGGAACGGCCGACUUUUUGGUACAUCAUAUUCAUGCAUUUACAAUUCAUGUGACGGUAUUGAUACUGUUGAAAGGUGUUUUAUUUGCUCGUACCUCGCGGUUAAUACCAGAUAAAGCAAAUCUUGGUUUUCGUUUCCCUUGUGAUGGGCCUGGAAGAGGAGGAACGUGUCAAGUAUCUGCUUGGGAUCAUGUCUUCUUAGGACUAUUCUGGAUGUACAAUUCUAUUUCGGUAGUAAUAUUCCUAGUAUUCAUUGAGACAACAAAGGACAUUGGAGCAAAUUCUUUUUGAGCAACAAAGUUUUUAUGUCGCAAAUUCGAUACAAACAUAUUAAUCGAAUUUCAUAGUAAUAGAAAUACAUGUCCUACCGAAACAGAAUUUGUAACUUGCUAUCCUAUAAUCUUGCCUAACAGGCAAAGAUUUCACUCCGCUAAAAAGAUGAUUCAUUCGGAUCAACAUGAAAGCCCAACUACAUUGCAUUGCCAGAAUUCAUGUUAUCUAUUGGAAAGAGGUUGACCUCCUUGCUUCUAUGGUACAAUCCUCUUCCCGCUGAGCCUCCUUUCUUCCAUGAUUAACUGUUGGCACCAGUCCUACAUUUUGUCUCUGUGGACCGAGAAGAAAGGACUCACUGCGCCAAGAUCACUAACUAACACUAAUCUAAUAGAAUAGAAAAUCCUAAUAUAAUAGAAAAGAACUGUCUUUUCUGUAUACUUAUAUAUACUUUCCCCGGUUCCGUUGCUACUGCGGGCUUUACGCAAUCGAUCGGAUCAUCUAAAUAUCCCUUCAACACAACAUAGGUCGUCGAAAGGAUCUCGGAGACCCGCCAAAGCACGAAAGCCAAGUAAGAUUUCAGGUUCUGAAUCUCGGUUAAUUGAAUCUCCUGCCCCAGGUAUUAUUUCGAGACGUUCUGUAUAUGAGCCUCUUCAAACAGGACUUAUUGCUAUUGAUUCCAUGAUCCCUAUAGGACGCGGCCAGCGGGAAUUAAUUAUUGGUGACAGACAGACCGGUAAAACAGCAGUAGCCACAGAUAUAAUUCUCAAUCAACAAGGUCAAAAUGUAAUAUGUGUUUAUGUGGCUAUUGGUCAAAAAGCUUCUUCCGUGCCUCAGGUAGUGACUAGUUUACAGGAACGAGGGGCAAUGGACUACACUAUUGUGGUAGCUGAAACGGCUGAUUCCCCAGCUACGUUACAAUACCUCGCGCCUUAUACAGGAGCCGCCUUGGCUGAAUAUUUUAUCUUAGAUUAAUAGGAUUUUCCUUCCUAUUAAUCUGGAAAUUCUUCUCAGAUACAAGGAAAUGAUUCAGUUCCAGAGCCAAAGAUCGUAGUUCUCGAACAAGUAAUCGAAAAGAUUCUGGAGCAUCUUCUGGUUUAGGUAUUGUUCCUCCAAUGAUAGUGGUACCAAGUACUUCUUGGGGAGCUCUAAUAUGAUCAGAUUAAUAAGUAAGCAUCUCUUGUAAAAUAUGAGCAACACCAAACCCCUCUAGAGCCCAAACCUCCAUUUCGCCUACCCGCUGCCCCCCCUGCUUAGAACUAGCCUAACGUAAAAACCAAUUUUUUAGAAUACAUAUAAAUUAAAAAAAUCUAUAGGAACCAAAAAAAAAAAAAAAAGAUAAUAUAUAUAUAUAUAUACGAAAUAUACGAAAGAUUCCUAUUGAUUUUGUAAAAAAAAGGGGGGGUUAUUACUUUCCCCAUCAAUACGAAAUAUACGAAAGAUUCCGUUGCUGUCUCGGCUGUGCUACCGGAGGCUCUGGGGAAGUCGGAAUAGGAGAGCACUCAUCUUGGGGUGGGCUUACUACUUAGAUGCUUUCAGCAGUUAUCCGCUCCGCACUUGGCUACCCAGCGUUUACCGUGGGCACGAUAACUGGUACACCAGAGGUGCGUCCUUCCCGGUCCUCUCGUACUAGGGAAAGGUCCUCUCAAUGCUCUAACGUCCACACCGGAUAUGGACCGAACUGUCUCACGACGUUCUGAACCCAGCUCACGUACCGCUUUAAUGGCCGAACAGCCCAACCCUUGGAACAUACUUCAUUAAAAUUUCAUGUACUGAUUCUUGAAUACCGACUAUGUUAGAAUAGUCAUGUGGUAUGUUCUCAGAUUUUGCACGUGUAAUACAUGUUCCUUCUAUUUCGCCAAGUAAAGCUCUUCGCAUCGCAAUGCCUAUUGUGUCGGCUUGACCUUUCAUAAGUGGAGACAGAAUAAAGCGUCCAUAAUAAAGACGCUUACUGUCUCUUCUUGAUUCAACACACUUCCACUGUAGUGUCCGAGUAGAUACUUUGACUUUCUCUCGAACCAUAGUAAUUUUAUUUGAUCAGAUCAUUGAAUCAUUUAUUUCUCUGGAAACCCUUUCAGCCUUUAUUUAGUUUUAUACACGUCGUUUUUUAGGGGGUCUACAACCAUUAUGUGGCAUAGGGGUUACAUCUCGUACAAAACUUAAAAGUAUACCGCUUCUACGAAUAGCUCGUAAUGCUGCAUCUCUUCCUAGUCCAGGGCCUUUUGUCCUUACUUCAGCUCGUUGCAUACCUUGAUCCACUACUGCUCGAAUAGCAUUUCCUGCUGCGGUUUGAGCAGCAAAAGGUGUUCCUCUUCUUGUACCCCUGAAUCCACAAGUACCCGCGGAGGACCAAGAAAUCACCCGACCCCGUACAUCUGUAACGGUCACAAUUAAAAUAAUAUAUUCAAUUCCCGUCGUUCGCCCGUGAUGCCCGGGACCAAGUUAUUAUGAUUUCUUUUUCCGCCUUUGUAUUAAGCUUCUCUAUUUUUCUUAAUAAAUGCUUUGCUACAAAAGGAUUUUUUUUUAGUGAACGUGUCACAGUUAAUUAACUCCUUUUUUUUUUAAGACGAAGAAAGAAAUUCGAUUUUCUCUCCUAUUUACUACGGCGAAGAAGAAUCAAAGUCUCACUAUAUUUUUUCCUUUUUCUAGUUCUUCUUCCAAGCGCAGGAUAACCCCAGGGGGUUACGGAUUUUUUUCUACCAAUUGGAGCCCUCCCUUCACCACCUCCAUUCUAUUAAAAAAUAAAAAAAAAUACAAAAAAUUGAAACAGGGUGAUCUAAAACUGUUGAUCAAAUAAAAUAAUAUAAUUAAAAAUUUAUUGACUAUUUGACAGAAUACAUGCAUUAAAAUAAGAAGGCUUCUUAUUCCACAACAACGAAAGCACUUUUUCACUCUUUUCUAUACUAGGGGAUUUCACUUGGAAAAGAAAAUGUUCCAUAGUAAUGGAUUCGAGUCCAUAACCAUGGGUUCCAGUGCACGAGAUCUUGUAGCACUUACCAAUGAGGCCUUAUCAAUUAGUAUUACACAGAAGAAAUCAAUUAUAGACACUAAUACAAUUAGAUCUGCUCUUCAUAGACAAACUUGGGAUUUGCGAUCCCAGGUAAGAUCGGUUCAGGAUCAUGGGAUCCUUUUCUAUCAGAUAGGAAGGGUUGUUGCACAAAAUGUACUUAUAAGUAAUUGCCCCAUAGAUCCUAUAUCUAUCUAUAUGAAGAAGAAAUCAUGUAACGAAGGGGAUUCUUAUUUGUACAAAUGGUACUUCGAACUUGGAACGAGCAUGAAGAAAUUCACGAUACUUCUUUAUCUUUUAAGUUGUUCUGCCGGAUCGGUCGCUCAAGACCUUUGGUCUCUACCCGGACCCGAUGAAAAAAAUAGGAUCACUUCUUAUAGAUUCAUUGAGAAUGAUUCGGAAACGAAGUGACUUAGACAAAUCUUUUUUAUCAAUAACCUCAGACCAAUCAAUCGAAUAUUGAUUAAUACAUAAUCGAUCGAACACUACUUGAAAACGGCUCUUCCGCUCAGAAACGAAAUGUUUCAAAUGCUCCUGGAAAUUCUUGCUCCCAUUGGACCAUUUGUAUCUAUAUGCAUUAGGAUCCCGAUUUAUGGAUCUCUCGGUUCGAGAAAGAAAAAUAAGAGGAUCAAACCAUUUCUUCUGACUCUUUUUCAAAUUCGAUAAAUGUUCGUUGAUCGUAUCUUUCAUUAUAGUUCUAUGAUUCAGAGUAUCAUUUCCUAUUAGAUCCCUUUGAAUUCCAUAUUCGAAGUUGCGAUCAGGUCUCUUCAUUAAAAAGAAUCGAUUCAAUAUAUUUCUUAUGUACCCAUAGGGACUAUAUUGGAAUUGGAUUUAAAUCAGAUUUCGGAUCAAUCUAUAUUGAUUGACUGCCUCCAUUAUGUUGUUGCUAAUCUAAUUGUUCAAUCAAUUGAUACCUAUAAUAAUUUCUAGAAAAACUAAAAUUAAUAUUUUGUUGUAGUAAAAUAGAAUUUCUUUCAUUUAUGUAGUAAAGUACAUCAAAAGAAAAUAAUUCAUUUAAUAACAUUUUAUUUUUCAUAUUCUUUUUCCAAAAAGUAGAUCCGACCUUGCGAAAUUUAAUGACUAGAAGAGCUAUUGAUAAUAAUGAUCCGACCUUACGUGCAUCAUUAACCACUGGGACUGGAGAGCUGGUACUAAUAUUGCAGACUGAGGCAUGUUGUUUAAAAGACCUGAAGUAGCAAAACCCUGAAUAAAAAUAGCACUUGGCGCAGUUAUUGCGUUUAAGUGAUUUUUUUUUAUUAAAAUAGGAAACUAUAUGAAUAAUUGCAAAAGCCCAUGAAAGAAAAAUUAAUGAUUCAUAUAAAUUGCUUAAUGGAAAAUGUCCUGAAUAAAUCCAACGGGUAAAUAAUAAUCAUGUUAUACCAAAAAACAUAAUUACGAUUCCUUUAUCUGAUGAAUAAAAAAAUCCUAUGAUUUCAUCUAAAUUAACUAAUAAAGUUAAAAAAUAAAUUAGUAGUACAAUUGAAACGACCGAAAAAGAUAUAUGAGUUAAUAUAUGCUCUAAAAUCGAAAAAAUCAUAAAAAAUUUGUUAAAAAUUAAUAAAUUAAUACUAGGUUUUACCCGAUUUUAGAAAACAAGUCGGGUAUUAAUUUGAUUAUAAAACUUAUAAUAUCUCUUUUAUAAGAUCUUAUGCCGCUACUCGGACUCGAACCGAGAUGCUCUAGCACUGCUUCCUAAGAGCAGCGUGUCUACCAAUUUCACCAUAGCGGCAACUUGUUCAAAAUAAUACUAACAAGUUUUUACUCAAUCGUCGAGAUUCAAAUUUUAAAUAAAGAAGCUAAUUUAAUGGAAUUUAAAAUUGAUUUUAUUACUAAGAAAAUGCUUUUUCUAAAAAUUAAAACUUCUCCAAAAUCCUUAGAAAUUUUAACUAAAAUUUGCCUAAGUUGCUCAAGAAAAAUGAAAAACAACAAUUGUCAAAAUAUCUAUUUUCAUGCAUCUUUUUAUAUUGUACAAACAUAAUAUUUUUUGAUCGCUUAAAAAAAAUAUCAUAUAUUAUUACUUAUUAGUAUCUAAUAUUCACUUAAUUGUGGAUAGAUACUUUUAUAACUUUGAUUCCAAGUAAAGAAUAUAAGAAUUAAGAGAAAUAAUAAUUCCUAAAGGUAUAAAGUGAAAUUUUUUUGACUUAAAUUAAUUUAAAGAACCUGUUGAUUUCGCUAAAAGAUCUUGUAUUUCCUAGUUAAGAGGAAAUACAAGAUCUUUAUUUAUUUUUUUAUUGAUGGGGAAAGUAAUAACCCCCCCCCCUUUUUUACAAAAUCAAUAGGAAUCUUUCGUAUAUUUCGUAUAUAUAUAUAUUAUCUUUUUUUUUUUGGUUCCUAUAGAUUUUUUUAAUUUAUAUGUAUUCUAAAAAAUUGGUUUUUACGUUAGGCUAAUUCUAAUGAUUCUAGUGUUUUUUAUUUAUUUUGUUGU